rnacentral:rRNA from 1 species
AGAGUUUGAUCAUGGCUCAGGACGAACGCUGGCGGCGUGCUUAACACAUGCAAGUCGAGCGGAAAGGCCCUUCGGGGUACUCGAGCGGCGAACGGGUGAGUAACACGUGAGUAAUCUGCCCCAGGCUCUGGGAUAGCCACCGGAAACGGUGAUUAAUACCGGAUACGACAACCGAUUGCAUGAUCUGGUUGUGGAAAGUUUUUCGGCCUGGGAUGUGCUCGCGGCCUAUCAGCUUGUUGGUGAGGUAAUGGCUCACCAAGGCUUCGACGGGUAGCCGGCCUGAGAGGGUGACCGGCCACACUGGGACUGAGACACGGCCCAGACUCCUACGGGAGGCAGCAGUGGGGAAUAUUGGACAAUGGGCGGAAGCCUGAUCCAGCAACGCCGCGUGAGGGAUGACGGCCUUCGGGUUGUAAACCUCUUUCAGCACAGACGAAGCGCAAGUGACGGUAUGUGCAGAAGAAGGACCGGCCAACUACGUGCCAGCAGCCGCGGUAAUACGUAGGGUCCGAGCGUUGUCCGGAAUUAUUGGGCGUAAAGGGCUCGUAGGCGGUCUGUCGCGUCGGGAGUGAAAACCAGGUGCUUAACACCUGGCCUGCUUUCGAUACGGGCAGACUAGAGGUACUCAGGGGAGAAUGGAAUUCCUGGUGUAGCGGUGAAAUGCGCAGAUAUCAGGAGGAACACCGGUGGCGAAGGCGGUUCUCUGGGAGUAUCCUGACGCUGAGGAGCGAAAGUGUGGGGAGCGAACAGGAUUAGAUACCCUGGUAGUCCACACCGUAAACGUUGGGCGCUAGGUGUGGGAUCCAUUCCACGGGUUCCGUGCCGCAGCUAACGCAUUAAGCGCCCCGCCUGGGGAGUACGGCCGCAAGGCUAAAACUCAAAGGAAUUGACGG